GACGAACGCUGGCGGCGUGCCUAAUACAUGCAAGUAGAACGCACAGUUUAUACCGUAGCUUGCUACACCAUAGACUGUGAGUUGCGAACGAGUGAGUAACGCGUAGGUAACCUGCCUGGUAGCGGGGGAUAACUAUUGGAAACGAUAGCUAAUACCGCAUAAUAUUGAUUAUUGCAUGAUAAUUGAUUGAAAGAUGCUAUUGCAUCACUACCAGAUGGACCUGCGUUGUAUUAGCUAGUAGGUGAGGUAACGGAUCAACUAGGCGACGAUACAUAGCCGACCUGAGAGGGUGAUCGGCCACACUGGGAAUGAGACAAGGCCCAGAAUCCUACGGGAGGGAGCAGGAGGGAAACUUCGGCAAUGGAAGAAAGGCUGAACGAGCAACGCCGCGUGAGUGAAGAAGGGUUUCGGAUCGGAAAGCUCUGUUGUAAGAGAAGAACGGGAGUGAGAGUGGAAAGUUCACACUGUGACGGUAGCUUACCAGAAAGGGACGGCUAACUACGUG
rnacentral:rRNA from 1 species